GAUGAACGCUGGCGGUCUGCCUAAUACGUGCACCUCCAGCUAACGGACGAUAAGCUUGCUUCUCUGAUGUUAGCGGCCGACGGUCCGAGUAUCACAUGCAUAACCUACCUAUAAUACUGGUCAUAUCUUCCGGAAACCUCAGCUAAUACCGGAGAAUAUUUUGAACCGCCUGGUACAUAAGGGAAAUACGGACUUGCUGUCACUUAUACAUGGAUCCGCGCUGCAUUAGCUAGUUGGUAAGGUAACGGCUUACCAAUGAUGCGAUGCUUACCCAACCUGAGAGGUCGAUCGGCCACUCUGGAACUGAUACCCGGACCAGACUCCUACAGGUGCCUGCACCACGUGAUCUUCCGCCCUGGACGAAAGCCUGACCUAUCAACGUCUCGUAAGUGAUGAAGGUCUUCGGAUCGUCAUCCUCUGUUCUCAAGGAAGAACAUAUGCGCCACUGACUGUGCACAUCUUGACCGAAUCUAUUCAGAUACCCACUUGUAACUACACGCCACCAGCCGCGUGAAUACUGAGGUGGCUGCCGCUCUCCGGAAUUAUAGACCGCACAGCUCGCGUAUGCGGUUUUUUAGUCUGAUGUGAAAUCCCACGGCUCGACUGUGAACGGGCAUUGGAUACUGGAAAACUUGAGUGCUAAAGAGGAAAGUGGAAUUCCAUGUGUAGCGGUGAAAUGCGCAGAGAUAUGGAGGAACACCAGUGGCGAAGGCGACUUUCUGGUCUGUAACUGACGCUGAUGUGCGAAAGCGUGGGGAUCAAACAGGAUUAGAUACCCUGGUAGUCCACGCCGUAAACGAUGAGUGCUAAAUGUGAGGGGGUUUCCGCCCCUUAGUGCUGCAGCUAACGCAUUAAGCACUCCGCCUGGGGAGUACGACCGCAAGGUUGAAACUCAAAGGAAUUGACGGGGACCCGCACAAGCGGUGGAGCAUGUGGUUUAAUUCGAAGCUACGCGAAGAACCUUACCAAAUCUUGACAUCCUUUGACAACUCUAGAGAUAGAGCCUUCCCCUUCGAGGGACAAAGUGACAGGUGGUGCAUGGCUGUCGUCCGCUCCUGUCGAGAGAUGUUGGGUUAAGUCCCGCAACGAGCGCCCCCCUGAAUCUUACUUGCCAUCAUUAGGUUGCGCACUCUGAAUUGACUGCCGCUGACCAAACGAAGGAAGGUGCGAAUGACAUCCAAUCUGCAUGCCCCGUAUGGUUUGGGCUACGCACUUGCUUGGAUGUGCCAUACGGCGGGCCACUAACCCUCUAGGUCGAAUCCCUCCCCUAUAUCUGUUCUCAGAUCGGAUUGUGGUCUGCAACUCCACUACAUGCAGACUUGAUCGCUAGUAAUCGUAGAUCACUGUGCUGCAGUGCAUACCUUGCCGUGGCU
rnacentral:rRNA from 1 species